AUUGAACGCUGGCGGCAGGCCUAACACAUGCAAGUAGAACGAGUGGCGGACGGGUGAGUAAUGUCUGGGAAACUGCCAGAUGGCGGGGGAUACCUACUGGAAACGGUAGCUAAUACGGAAUACCCUCGGAUGUGCCCAGAUGGGAUUAGCUAGUAGGGGGGGUAACGGCGUACUUAGGCGACGAUCCCUAGCUGGGCUGAGAGGAUGACCAGCCACACGGGAACUGAGACACGGUCCAGACUCCUACGGGAGGUAGCAGUGGGGAAUAUUGCACAAUGGGCGCAAGCCUGAUGCAGCCAUGCCGCGUGUAUGAAGAAGGCCUUCGGGUUGUAAAGUACUUUCAGCGAGGAGGCGUUACUCGCAGAAGAAGCACCGGCUAACUCCGUGCCAGCAGCCGCGGUAAUUC
rnacentral:rRNA from 1 species